rnacentral:rRNA from 1 species
GGCAGCAGCCGCGGUAACACCGGCGGCCCGAGUGGUGAUCGUGAUUAUUGGGUCUAAAGGGUCCGUAGCCGGUUUGGUCAGUCCUCCGGGAAAUCUGAUAGCUCAACUAUUAGGCUUUCGGGGGAUACUGCCAGACUUGGAACCGGGAGAGGUAAGAGGUACUACAGGGGUAGGAGUGAAAUCUUGUAAUCCCUGUGGGACCACCUGUGGCGAAGGCGUCUUACCAGAACGGGUUCGACGGUGAGGGACGAAAGCUGGGGGCACGAACCGGAUUAGAUACCCGGGUAGUCCCAGCCGUAAACGAUGCUCGCUAGGUGUCAGGCAUGGCGCGACCGUGUCUGGUGCCGCAGGGAAGCCGUGAAGCGAGCCACCUGGGAAGUACGGCCGCAAGGCUGAAACUUAAAGGAAUUGGCGGGGGAGCACAACAACGGGUGGAGCCUGCGGUUUAAUUGGACUCAACGCCGGACAGCUCACCGGGGGCGACAGCAAUAUGUAGGCCAAGCUGAAGACUUUGCCUGAAUCGCUGAGAAGUGGUGCAUGG